rnacentral:rRNA from 1 species
CCCUUAGAUGUUCUGGGCCGCACGCGCGCUACACUGAUUCAUGCAACAAGUUUUGUCCUUGGCUGAUAGGCCUGGGUAAUCUUUGAACGUGAAUCGUGAUGGGGAUAGACGAUUGCAAUUAUUCAUCUUCAACGAGGAAUUCCUAGUAAACGCGAGUCAUCAGCUCGCGUUGAUUACGUCCCUGCCCUUUGUACACACCGCCCGUCGCUCCUACCGAUUGAAUGGUCCGGUGAAAUGUUCGGAUCGCGGCAAAUCGGACGGGUAACCGUCAGGUUCGCUGCGAGAAGUUCGUUAAACCUUAUCAUUUAGAGGAAGGAGAAGUCGUANCA